ACGAAGGUCCCGAGCGUUGUUCGGAAUCACUGGGCGUAAAGGGAGCGUAGGCGGCGUGGUAAGUCAGAUGUGAAAUCCCGGGGCUCGACCCCGGAACUGCAUCCGAUACUGCCGUGCUAGAGUUUUGGAGAGGUAGCUGGAAUUUACGGUGUAGCAGUGAAAUGCGUGGAUAUCGUAAGGAACACUCGUGGCGAAAGCGAGCUACUGGACAACAACUGACGCUGAGGCUCGAAGGCCAGGGUAGCGAAAGGGAUUAGAUACCCCUGUAGUCCUGGCAGUAAACGGUGUGCGCUUGGUGUGGCGGGAAUCGACCCCUGCCGUGCCGGAGCUAACGCGUUAAGCGCACCGCCUGGGAAGUACGGUCGCAAGACUA
rnacentral:rRNA from 1 species